AUUAGAGUUUGAUCAUGGCUCAGAACGAACGCUGGCGGCAGGCCUAACACAUGCAAGUCGAACGCCCUAGCAAUAGGGAGUGGCAGACGGGUGAGUAACGCGUGGGAACGUGCCCUUCGGUUCGGAAUAACUCAGGGAAACUUGAGCUAAUACCGGAUACGUGCGAGAGCAGAAAGAUUUAUCGCCGAAGGAUCGGCCCGCGUUCGAUUAGCUAGUUGGUGAGGUAAUGGCUCACCAAGGCGACGAUCUGUAGCGGGUCUGAGAGGAUGAUCCGCCACACUGGGACUGAGACACGGCCCAGACUCCUACGGGAGGCAGCAGUGGGGAAUAUUGGACAAUGGGCGGAAGCCUGAUCCAGCCAUGCCGCGUGUGUGAAGAAGGCCUUUUGGUUGUAAAGCACUUUAAGCGAGGAGGAGGCUCCUUUAGUUAAUACCUAAAGAGAGUGGACGUUACUCGCAGAAUAAGCACCGGCUAACUCUGUGCCAGCAGCCGCGGUAAUACAGAGGGUGCGAGCGUUAAUCGGAUUUACUGGGCGUAAAGCGUGCGUAGGCGGCUUUUUAAGUCGGAUGUGAAAUCCCUGAGCUUAACUUAGGAAUUGCAUUCGGUACUGGAAAGCUAGAGUAUGGGAGAGGAUGGUAGAAUUCCAGGUGUAGCGGUGAAAUGCGUAGAGAUCUGGAGGAAUACCGAUGGCGAAGACAGCCAUCUGGCCUAAUACUGACGCUGAGGUACGAAAGCAUGGGGAGCAAACAGGAUUAGAUACCCUGGUAGUCCAUGCCGUAAACGAUGUCUACUAGCCGUUGGGGCCUUUGAGGCUUUAGUGGCGCAGCUAACGCGAUAAGUAGACCGCCUGGGGAGUACGGUCGCAAGACUAAAACUCAAAUGAAUUGACGGGGGCCCGCACAAGCGGUGGAGCAUGUGGUUUAAUUCGAUGCAACGCGAAGAACCUUACCUGGUCUUGACAUAGUAAGAACUUUCCAGAGAUGGAUUGGUGCCUUCGGGAACUUACAUACAGGUGCUGCAUGGCUGUCGUCAGCUCGUGUCGUGAGAUGUUGGGUUAAGUCCCGCAACGAGCGCAACCCUUUUCCUUAUUUGCCAGCGGGUUAAGCCGGGAACUUUAAGGAUACUGCCAGUGACAAACUGGAGGAAGGCGGGGACGACGUCAAGUCAUCAUGGCCCUUACGACCAGGGCUACACACGUGCUACAAUGGUCGGUACAAAGGGUUGCUACCUCGCGAGAGGAUGCUAAUCUCAAAAAGCCGAUCGUAGUCCGGAUUGGAGUCUGCAACUCGACUCCAUGAAGUCGGAAUCGCUAGUAAUCGCGGAUCAGAAUGCCGCGGUGAAUACGUUCCCGGGCCUUGUACACACCGCCCGUCACACCAUGGGAGUUUGUUGCACCAGAAGUAGGUAGUCUAACCUUAGGGGGGACGCUUACCACGGUGUGGCAGAUGACUGGGGUGAAGUCGUAACAAGGUAACCGUAAUC
rnacentral:rRNA from 2 species